rnacentral:rRNA from 1 species
GUUAGGAAUAUUGGACAAUGGACGAAAGCCUGAUCCAGCCAUGCCGCGUGAACGAUGAAGGCCUUCGGGUUGUAAAGUUCUUUAGCCGAUGAUUAUAAUGACUGUAGUCGGAAAAUAAGCCCCGGCUAACUUCGUGCCAGCAGCCGCGGUAAUACGAAGGGGGCGAGCGUUAUUCGGAAUCACUGGGCGUAAAGCGUGCGUAGGCGGUUUUGUAAGUUAGGAGUGAAAGCCCAGGGCUCAACCUUGGAAUUGCUCUUAAAACUGCAAGGCUCGAAUCUCGGAGAGGAUAGCGGAAUUUCCAGUGUAGCAGUGAAAUGCGUAGAUAUUGGAAGGAACACCAGUGGCGUAAGCGGCUAUCUGGACGAGUAUUGACGCUGAGGCACGAAAGCGUGGGGAUCAAACAGGAUUAGAAACCCGUGUAGUCC